GGGCGCAUAGCUCAGUUGGUAGAGCGCUUCCCUUACAAGGAAGAUGUCAGGGGUUCGAGUCCCUUUGCGCCCA
rnacentral:tRNA from 1 species